GCCUACGGGGCGCAGCAGUAGGGAAUUUUCGUCAAUGGGCGCAAGCCUGAACGAGCAAUGCCGCGUGAACGAGGAAGGUCUUCGGAUCGUAAAGUUCUGUUGAAGGGGAAAAAGAGCGGAGAGAGGAAAUGCUUUCUGAUUGAUAUUACCCUUCGAGGAAGUCACGGCUAACUACGUGCCAGCAGCCGCGGUAAUACGUAGGUGGCGAGCGUUAUCCGGAAUGAUUGGGCGUAAAGGGUGCGUAGGCGGUCUGCUAAGUCUGGAGUGAAAGGUACCGGCUCAACCGGUACAGGCUCUGGAAACUG
rnacentral:rRNA from 1 species